CAAUUUACCGUGAGAUUGUCGACACCUUGAUUGUCUUGGCUGCUAAAUUUGCGAAAACGCCAGCUUACACCAUUCUCGAAGCUCAUACCAUAAGCACGUACUCACCCCUUCGAAUUUCUCCUUUCUUCCAAAUAUGUAAUUGACACUCCAGUUUAGUUAAAUCCCGUUUUUCUCAGCUGGGAUUUUUUUUCAUGGCAAGAUUAUUUUUCAUUUUUGGAAUAAUUUUCUUAUUUAUUUUUUGCUAUACGCCUGUUCGAUCAAAUGAUCAAGAAGGGCACAUUACGGUAGACAUAUCGAAUAAGGGUCUUGAUUUUCUCAAGGAUUUGUUAAUAGAAAAGGCAGAGUCGUCGUUGCUUCCACUUUACUUGCCCAAGAUUGAGAAUGCCGUGACAAUCCCAAUCAUGGGUAAAGUUCAUAUGGUUCUUUCGAAUAUUACUGUGGAUAGGAUUGAUGUGAUUUCUUCGAAUGUGAGAACUAGUGAUAAUGGUAUACAUAUAGCUGUUUCUGGGGCCACCGCGAAUUUGAGUAUGAAUUGGAAGUAUUCAUACAGCACUUCGUUGGUUCCUAUUGCUGUUUCGGAUCAAGGAAGUGCCACGAUUGGGGUUGAAAGUAUGGAAAUUGGGCUUAUCCUCAGUCUGAAGAAUCUACAAGGAUCUUUUAAGCUGUCUGUUCUGGAAUGUGGAUGUAAUGUGAAAGAUAUAUUGAUAAAGUUGGAUGGUGGAGCAUCCUGGCUAUAUCGAGGGUUGGUGAAUGCCUUUGAGGGUACAAUUAUUUCUGCAGUUGAAAAUGCUGUUUCCAAGAAAAUAAAUGAUAAAAUCAUAAAGCUUGAUUCUGUAUUGCAGUCUCUUCCUAAAGAAGUUCCGAUAACUAGUAUUGCUGCCUUGAAUAUUACAUUUCUUGAUGACCCGAAGUUGAGUGAAUCAUCACUUGACCUUGAAAUAGAUGGGUUAUUAUCUGCCAAGGAUGAAACUCUAGUUUCCAACCACUAUAAUAAAACUUUACAACCUUCAUUCUCCUGCAAGGAAGUGGAUAAGAUGGUCGGGGUCUCAUUGCAUGAAGAUGUUCUUAAAUCAGCAUCAACUGUCUACUUUGAAGCAAAGAAGAUGAAUUGGAUCGUUGAAUAUGCAUCAGAUCGGUAUCUCUUGAACACAUCAGUUUGGAGGUUCAUUGUUCUGCAGUUGUACAAGCUCUAUCCAGAUGAUGACAUUAACCUGAAUAUUUCUGUUUCUUCGCUGCCAACUAUAAAAUUUGGAAAGCAGCAGAUUGAUGCAACAAUUCCUUUGGAUAUGGUGAUUGAUGUUUCAGAUGCAGGUGAAAUAAUACCAGUUGCAGGCAUUUCAAUGGUACGUUUAGUGAAAUGUCUGUGGUCAUUAGUGCUUCAAUAUUUGCUGAAAUUUUGGGGAACACUGUGAUCGGUAGUGUAAAAUUAAAUGACUUUAGUAUGUCUCUUGAUUGGAGCAAAAUUGGUGAUUUGCACAUUCGUCAAGUUCAGUUAGUGAUAUCCACUGUGCUGAAGACUGUAAUCUUGCCAUACGUGAAUGGACAACUCAGCAAAGGACAUUCGUUGCCUGUGUUUCAUGGUUACAAGCUUCAGGAUACUCAAAUCGUUUGUGUAGAUUCCUGGAUUGUGUUCUGCAGUGAUGUGGUCUCCGCCAAAAAAUUCAGUCUCGCCUAGUCCCUGCAUCUUGGAAGGGCAGUUUGGUCCAAGAAACUAUCACAGUGCUAGACACGAGGAAUUAAGAUCAAAUGAACUUCGGAGGCUUGUUUGCGACUUUCUUGUUGCCCCAGUUGUAGCCAAGUACAAUGUGUAGUCAUGGAUACAAUAUGCACAAUUGCAGCGUACGUCUACGUUCGAUAAACUCUCGCAAAAUGUAGCAUAUCACAAAAGAGAUUGAGUUUGUUGUUUAUGGUAAUUCAAACUAAGGAAGCAAUAAAAAGUUGUUUGAUCAAA